AUUGAACGCUGGCGGUAGGCUUAACACAUGCAAGUCGCGCGAGAAAGUAUCUUCGGAUAUGAGUAGAGCGGCGAACGGGUGAGUAACGCGUAGGAAUGUACCUAGUAGAAGGGGAUAGCCCGAGGAAACUCGGAUUAAUACCGUAUACCUCCUUCGGGAGAAAGAAGGCCUCUCUUUGAAGCUUUCGCUACUAGAUCAGCCUGCGUAAGAUUAGCUUGUUGGUGAGGUAAUGGCUCACCAAGGCUACGAUCUUUAGCUGGUCUGAGAGGACGAUCAGCCACAUUGGGACUGAGACACGGCCCAGACUCCUACGGGAGGCAGCAGUGGGGAAUAUUGGACAAUGGGCGCAAGCCUGAUCCAGCCAUACCGCGUGUGUGAAGAAGGCCUUCGGGUUGUAAAGCACUUUAAGCAGGGAGAAAAAGUUAUAGGUUAAUACCCUAUGACCCUGAUGUUACCUGCAGAAUAAGCACCGGCUAAUUCCGUGCCAGCAGCCGCGGUAAUACGGAAGGUGCAAGCGUUAAUCGGAAUUACUGGGCGUAAAGCGCGCGUAGGUGGUUUAUUAAGUUGGAUGUGAAAUCCCCGGGCUCAACCUGGGAACUGCAUCCAAAACUGAUUCACUAGAGUACGAUAGAGGGAGGUAGAAUUCACAGUGUAGCGGUGGAAUGCGUAGAUAUUGUGAAGAAUACCAAUGGCGAAGGCAGCCUCCUGGAUCUGUACUGACACUGAGGUGCGAAAGCGUGGGUAGCGAACAGGAUUAGAUACCCUGGUAGUCCACGCCGUAAACGAUGUCAACUAGCUGUUGGAGAACUAUGUUCUUCAGUGGCGCAGCUAACGUAGUAAGUUGACCGCCUGGGGAGUACGGUCGCAAGACUG
rnacentral:rRNA from 1 species